AACGAACGCUGGCGGCGUGCCUAACACAUGCAAGUCGAACGGGAUUAGGGGCUUGCUCCUAAUCUAGUGGCGCACGGGUGAGUAACGCGUAGAUAAUCUGCCUGAUGAUCUGGGAUAACACUUCGAAAGAGGUGCUAAUACCGGAUAAGCCCACGGGUUCUUUGGAAUCUGCGGGAAAAGGGGGGGACCUUCGGGCCUUCUGUCAUCAGAUGAGUCUGCGUACCAUUAGCUAGUUGGUAGGGGAAUGGCCUACCAAGGCGACGAUGGUUAGCUGGUCUGAGAGGAUGUUCAGCCCCACUGGAACUGAGACCAGGUCCAGACGUCUACGGGCGGCAGGAGUGGGGAAUGUUGCGCAAUGGGAGAAAGCCUGACGCAGCAACGCCGCGUGAGUGAUGAAGGCUUUCGGGUCGUAAAGCUCUGUCAAUGGGAAAGAAGUGUAUUGGAGCUAAUAUCUCCGAUACUUGACGGUACCCAUAAAGGAAGCACCGGCUAACUUCGUGCCAGCCGCCGCGGUAA
rnacentral:rRNA from 1 species